rnacentral:rRNA from 1 species
AAUUGAAGAGUUUGAUCCUGGCUCAGAUUGAACGCUGGCGGCAUGGCUAAAACAUGCAAGUCGAACGCCUGGAGCAAUCCAGGAGUGGCGAAAGGGCGAGGAAUAGAUUCCUACGUGCCCCAAGGUCGGGGAUACCUCGGAGAAAUCCGAAUCAAUACCCGAUGUGAUCGUGAGAUCAAAGGCUUGCUGCCUUGGGAGCGGGGAAUCUCCUAUCAGCUAGUUGGUGAGGUAAUGGCUCACCAAGGCGAAGACGGGUAGCGGGUGUGAGAGCACGGCCCGCCGCAUCGAGACUGAGACACUGCUCGGACUCCUACGGGAGGCUGCAGUAACGAAUCUUCCGCAAUGCGCGAAAGCGUGACGGGGCAAUGCCGCGUGGUGGAUGAAGCCCUUCGGGGUGUAAACACCUGUCAGGGUUUCGGAACACAAUGACCAGACCCAAAGGAAGAGCCGGCUAACUCUGUGCCAGCAGCCGCGGUAAUACAGAGGGCUCGAGCGUUAAUCGGAAUCACUGGGCUUAAAGCGUGCGUAGGCGGGUGCGUAGGCACCUUGUGAAAUACCUCGGCUCAACCGAGGAAUUGCUUGGUGAACCAUGCACCUUGAGGCAGGUAGGGGUGGCUGGAACGAUAGGUGGAGCGGUGAAAUGCGUAGAUAUCUAUCGGAACGCCAAAGGAGAAGUCAGGCCACUGGGCCUGUCCUGACGCUGAGGCACGAAAGCGUGGGGAGCAAACGGGAUUAGAUACCCCGGUAGUCCACGCCGUAAACGAUGCGCACUAGGUCGGGGAGCUUUCACGGCCUCCCGGCCGAAGCAAAAGUGUUGAGUGCGCCGCCUGGGGAGUACGGUCGCAAGGCUAAAACUCAAAGGAAUUGACGGGGGCUCACACAAGCGGUGGAGCAUGUGGCUCAAUUCGAAGCAACGCGAAGAACCUUACCUGGGUUUGA